UACCAGCACCCCGAGUGGUCGGGACGUUUAUUGGGCCUAAAGCAUCCGUAGCCGGUUCUACAAGUCUUCCGUUAAAUCCAACUGCUUAACAGGUGGGCUGCGGAAGAUACUAUAGUGCUAGGAGGCGGGAGAGGCAAGCGGUACUCGAUGGGUAGGGGUAAAAUCCGUUGAUCCAUUGAAGACCACCAGUGGCGAAGGCGGCUUGCCAGAACGCGCUCGACGGUGAGGGAUGAAAGCUGGGGGAGCAAACCGG
rnacentral:rRNA from 1 species